rnacentral:rRNA from 1 species
AGCUCUAAUAAUGUGUGUUCGUGUUGCUGCAGUUAAAAAGCUCGUAGUUGAAUUUCUGACUGGACAUGCCUAGUCCGACGGGAUUUCUCGUCGUGUGCGGGGUCGUGUUAGUCAUCCUUCUGGAAAUUGGAAUUGGCGCUUCACUGUGUUUGAUUUCAUGCUCCAGAUCUUUUACUUUGAAAAAAUUAGAGUGUUUAAAGCAGGCUUUUGCUAUGAAUACAUUAGCAUGGAAUAAUAAUUUAGGACUUUGGUCCUAUUUUGUUGGUUUCUAGGACUGAAGUAAUGAUUGAUAGGGAUAGUUGGGGAUGCUGAUAUUCAUCGGCCAGAGGUGAAAUUCUUGGAUUCGAUGAAGAUCAACUUAUGCGAAAGCAUUCAUCAAGGAUAUCUUCU